rnacentral:tRNA from 1 species
ACCGAAAUAGCUCAGUUGAAAGAGCGUUAGACCGUUAAUCGAAACGUCCCUGGUUCGAUCCCAGGAUUCGGAA